AUCGACUGCUUGUGCAUGAGCUAUUAACCAUUAGCUGGCAUUGAGAAGAACCUUCAUCAAGAACAAGAACACUCACUCAGGACGAGGAGGACUUUGACAAGUUCCUGGAGAGUGCCAAAGCUCAGCAGCUCUCAUUCUUCACAAAAGUUUCCGAGCCCCACCCCUCACUGUCUGACUCGGAAGAGGAGAUAGACUUUGUAUUCUGGGAGAAGGCGUCCACCCUACCCUCGGACAAGACCCCAACCAAGGACCUGAACUUGUUAUGAGACUGUUAAAUAUUAUUUUGUACUAUUUUCUGGCAAUGUAAUUAUGUAUGUACCACUUCAUGUCAUCAUAAUAACUAUAAUUAUAUGCGAUA